GAGUUUGAUCCUGGCUCCAGAUUGAACGCUGGCGGCAUGCCUUACACAUGCAAGUCGAACGGCAGCACGGGAGCUUGCUCCUGGUGGCGAGUGGCGAACGGGUGAGUAAUGCAUCGGAACGUAUCCUGGAGUGGGGGAUAACGUAGCGGAAGUUACGCUAAUACCGCAUAUUCUGUGAGCAGGAAAGCGGGGGACCUUCGGGCCUCACGCUCUUGGAGCGGCCGAUGUCGGAUUAGCUAGUUGGUGAGGUAAAGGCUCACCAAGGCGACGAUCCGUAGCAGGUCUGAGAGGAUGAUCUGCCACACUGGAACUGAGACACGGUCCAGACUCCUACGGGAGGCAGCAGUGGGGAAUUUUGGACAAUGGGGGCAACCCUGAUCCAGCCAUGCCGCGUGAGUGAAGAAGGCCUGGUUGUAAG
rnacentral:rRNA from 1 species